AGAGUAAACAAGCAAGCAGCGCUCUUCACUUCUCUCCAAAGAGCUGCUAAUUAUAGGUUGUCUCCUGUGGGACUGGGUAACAGAGGAUCCUCAUUCCUUCUUUGCCGAAGUUUACAAUGGUGAUAGAGAGCAGAUCUGCACAUGAAGAAACUUGAAGUCCACCCAAAAACAGUUCAUCCUGUUGACCGUAUUGGAUCUGUAAGGUCUCCUUCCCCUUUUUUACUGCAUGGUUCCUCUGCAAAGUCAUCUAGGCAGGGAUGCAUGGGAAAUGCCUGGUGACAGAUCCACCAAGGACGAAUUUCAAAAAUAGGUACGUCUCCCCCAGGCUGCAGAGCUUUUGGACGCAGUCCAGACCUGCAUGACAACCGAAAGCGACAGUCAGCUCUCCAACACAGGUGACAACACAGGAGAAACUGACAGGACCUGAUUGCAUUUGGAUAGACUCAUUUGGGAUCUUAUUAGAGUGAAGCUUGAUGAAAAUCAGGAAAUCUAAUGACAUUACGACCCAAACGUUUGACUGUGUCUGAGUCAUCAGUCAUCUCUACUCCUAAAACCCUGUCUCUGGAAAUAUACAAUUGAAGCUUAAACUGAUACAGCUUGUCAAAAUGUAUCAUUAUCAUAACAACCUAAAAUGCACAAUGAGUACCCAAAGACCCGCUAGUGUUUCCCUUUAGAGAAGUUGCUUUGGGCAGUAGAAGUGUCAUAUUCUCCUGUCUGUGAGAAGCAGUAAUGAACUAGAUUUGCAUUUCCUGCAGGAAAUACCUCGGCUUGCAUGGCAGCAAUAGAAUAGUAUUCUGCUAACCAUAAGCCUUUAGUUGUUCAUAAAUGAAAUGCUGUUUUAGAUUUUGCUGUUGUCGUGAUGCUUAUUGUGCGUCUCGUUUAUAAUUCACCCCUUUAAAGAAAAGGAAUCAAUGCAUUUGCUGCAGGCAGCAUAAAGGUGACAUAUUUUAAAAACCAGGAAAUAUACGCAAGCUCAUUGGAAAUAUGUACUUCUGCCUACAUUUCUGCAAAACCUGAAAUACUUUGCUCCAUAUCACUGCAUUUUUCGUUUGGAGUGUCUACUAGAGCCAAUGGAGGUGCUUGUUUUUCAUCAUUUUGAUGCAGGUUUAUUAAAGGUUAAAAAGCCAGACAGCAGACGACUUCAGGCCGGAUCUGGAACAGAUCUGCUCCAGAGCUGCAACAGAUCCGGCCCGGAACUGCUGACUUUGUUGUGGAUCUGAGAUCCCGGAGUCACCUGGGAAUAUUUAACAUUAGUGGGGUAUAUUCUUCAGUUAAUGCUUGUGUGCUUGUUGUGGAUAAACGUCUGAUGUCUUUAAUGUAAGGA